UCUGUGAACCUAGAUAAGUCACUUAACCCUAUUUGCCUCAGUUUCCUCAAUAUGUAAAAUGAAUUGGAAAAGGAAAUGGCAAACCACUUCAGUAUUUUUUGCCAGGAAAAUCCCAAAUGAGGUCACAAAGAGUUGGACACAACUGAAACGACUGAACAAUGACCAUCUUCUUUGCAUUCAUUUACCUUCCACUCCAGCCUAGCCAUUCUCCUCAUUACUUGUUAGAUAUGCCUAUGCAAUUUGGAGAUAGAAACGAAAUCAGACUUGGACUCUGGAGAACUGAUAUAUUCUCUCCAAACCUAUAAUACACAUAAUCAAGUAUGAUUAGAGUGAUCUCUAUCAGGCUAUUGGGUAAUUGACACAAACAAGGCACCAAAUUUCAGACCAGAGAUAAAAGAUAUAUGAAGUGGAGUGUACUCUGUCAAUAAUGAGGGGAACUCUUCAGAACUGACACUUCACACUGGCAGUGAAGGAUGCUUCCCAGUUGUUUGCAGAGAGGUGGUGGGCCAUUGCUGUGGAGAAAGGUUUUCCAGUAUCCCUUGGAACACAUCUCCUUUUGAAACAGAAACCCAGAAGAAGGCUCAGACAUGAUUCAUGUAAGUUGUACAAGGGAAAAUCUAUUAUUAUAGUUUUGGUCAUUGAUUGUUCCGUACGUGUAAUAUGUCAUAUGGGGGAUAUUAGAAGCAAUCAAUCAAUGAAUCAGUCACUAAGUCAAUUGCUAGAGAAUUAAAAAAAAAACCUUUGCCUUCAGUUUUAGAAUCAAUAUUAGGUAUCAGUUCCAAGGCAAAAGAAUGGUAAGGGCUAGGCAAUGGGGCUUAAGUGACUUACUCAGGGUCACACAGCUAGGAAGUAUCUGAGAGAUCAGAUUUGAACUCAGGACCUUCUGUCUAUAGACUGUCUCUUAUUCCUUUGAGCCACCUUGCCACUCUUAUAGUAGUUUUUUAAAAUAGUUUGA